GUUGAGAAGCAUGCUGGAGGUAUCAGAAGUGCGAAUGCUGACAUGAGUAACGACAAUGCGGGUGAAAAACCCGCACGCCGGAAGACCAAGGGUUCCUGCGCAACGCUAAUCGGCGCAGGGUGAGUCGGCCCCUAAGGCGAGGCAGAAAUGCGUAGCUGAUGGGAAACAGGUUAAUAUUCCUGUACUUCUUAUAACUGCGAUGGAGAGACGGAGAAGGCUAGGUGAGCCGGGCGACGGUUGUCCCGGUUUAAGCGAGUAGGGAGUGGACUUAGGCAAAUCCGGGUCCACAAUCCUGAGACGCGACGACGAGUGCCCAAGGGCGCGAAGUCAUUGAUGCCCUGCUUCCAGGAAAAUCUUCUAAGCUUCAGGCUAUUCGAGACCGUACCCCAAACCGACACAGGUGGUCAGGUAGAGAAUACCAAGGCGCUUGAGAGAACUCGGGUAAAGGAACUAGGCAAAAUGGUGCCGUAACUUCGGGAGAAGGCACGCCGGUGUGUACGUGAAGCCCCUGCGGGUGGAGCGGAAGCCGGUCGAAGAUACCAGGCCCCUGCGACUGUUUAUUAAAAACACAGCACUCUGCAAACACGUAAGUGGACGUAUAGGGUGUGACGCCUGCCCGGUGCCGGAAGGUUAAUUGAUGGGGUUAGCAUUCGUGCGAAGCUCUUGAUCGAAGCCCCGGUAAACGGCGGCCGUAACAAUAACGGUCCUAAGGUAGCGAAAUUCCUUGUCGGGUAAGUUCCGACCUGCACGAAUGGCGUAACGAUGGGGGCGCUGUCUCUACCCGAGACUCAGUGAAAUUGAAAUCGCCGUGAAGAUGCGGUGUAUCCGCGGCUAGACGGAAAGACCCCGUGAACCUUUACUAUAGCUUCACAGUGAACUUUGAGCAUGCUUGUGUAGGAUAGCUGGGAGGCUUUGAACCCGGGACGCCAGUUCCGGUGGAGCCAACCUUGAAAUACCAGCCUGGCAUGUUUGAGGUUCUAACCUGGGUCCCUUAUCGGGAUCGGGGACAUUGUGUGGUGGGUAGUUUGACUGGGGCGGUCUCCUCCCAAAGCGUAACGGAGGAGCACAAAGGUGGGCUAAGUACGGUCGGACAUCGUACGGUUAGUGUAAUGGCACAAGCCCGCUUGACUGCGAGACAGACACGUCGAGCAGGUACGAAAGUAGGUCAUAGUGAUCCGGUGGUUCUGUAUGGAAGGGCCAUCGCUCAACGGAUAAAAGGUACUCCGGGGAUAACAGGCUGAUACCGCCCAAGAGUUCACAUCGACGGCGGUGUUUGGCACCUCGAUGUCGGCUCAUCACAUCCUGGGGCUGAAGCCGGUCCCAAGGGUAUGGCUGUUCGCCAUUUAAAGUGGUACGCGAGCUGGGUUUAGAACGUCGUGAGACAGUUCGGUCCCUAUCUGCCGUGGGUGUAGGAUACUUGAGAGGAGUUGCCCCUAGUACGAGAGGACCGGGGUGAACGCACCACUGGUGGACCUGUUGUCGUGCCAACGGCAGUGCAGGGUAGCUAUGUGCGGACAGGAUAACCGCUGAAGGCAUCUAAGCGGGAAGCCCCCCUCAAAACCAGGUAUCCCUAUCAGAGCCGUGGAAGACCACCACGUUGAUAGGCUGGAAGUGGAAGCGCAGCAAUGUGUGAAGCGGA
rnacentral:rRNA from 17 species